GAAGUGUUAACGUGCACGUCUGUCUGCCUCUGCCCAUGUUGUGCUGUUAGCUAUUGGAAACGGAUAAUUAUCAAAAUAAUAUAAAUCUAAAGAACAGCGCGUGAGAGGUAACCUCUGAGAGACAACAUAAAAACAAAGUCACUCACCUGUGCAAUGGCGAGGGAACGCUCCCCAAAUGUUUAUGGGGGUCCUCCUCCCCAGUCAGAUCUUAGACUCCUGCUGCUUGGGAGAGUAGGAGCUGGGAAGAGUACAGUAGCCAAAACCAUCCUGGGCAGCAAUAACUUCCGGAGUGAAGGAGGCAUGUGUGUGAAGAAGCAGGGUGGAAGGACCGUCACCGUGGUGGACACCCCGGGCUGGGACACUGUGAAAUACACGUCCACACACAUCAAACAAGAAAUUAAGAAGUGUGACCCUAUGUUCUCCAGGACCCCAUGCUCUUCUUCUGGUGGUGCCCAUGGCCAUCCCGCUCUCCUCCGCAGAAAGAAAGGCGAUUCGGUAUCACAUGGAGCUAUUGUCAGUUAGGGCAUGGAAGUUUACCAUGGUCUUGUUUGUCAGUGAGGCUGAGGAGAAAUGCACAUCCAUUGAACAGAAUCAGAUGAUCGACAAAGCAAAAAGUAUGCUAGCGAAAUGUGGAGACAGACACCAUCUCCUUGAGUGUGGCAAUUCUCCUUCCCAGAUUUCUGAGCUCCUGAUAAAGCUAGACGCCAUGGUAGCAGAAAACUGUGAAGAAUUCUUAAUCCCCCAAGUAUACGAUGAACUGAUGGAGACCAUGCCAAGGGAAGUGACCGAGCUGAGAAGGAUGUAUGAGAGGACAGACUGAGAGGACAGACUGAAACGGAAAUACAAAACAGAUUUGAAGGAAAAGGAAGAAGAGCUGAAGAAGUAUAGAGAAGAAGAGAAGCCUAAAGAAAGGUUGAUGAAGAGGACAAGUAGCAGUCACUUACCUCCCCCCCAGUAGUAAGUAUGAUAAGUUUAAAAUUGCUAAAGUUAGUAAUUUCCACUUUGACAUUUCAGACUAGAUUUGCCCAAAGGAAAAAGGUAUCAACCACUACAGAACUGUCCUUAAAAAAUAAUCCACGUAAUAAUUCACAUUUCCUAUUGCUGCAGGUUUAUUUUCCUGCUUUAGCAAACUGGCUCAAAUUAAGAUCCUACAUCUGUAAUGGUGAUCUAAUUCCUGAACUGUCUCUCUGUGUGUGUUUAUUCUUUGAAGUAAGCACAGAGAAGCAGGACGGGUCGGUAAUGGCUGACCAUCAGAAGGUGGACCUACAGGCCGUCAAGCAAGGAUACAGGGAAGAGGCCUUGUCUGUGGUGGGCCACUACGUCAAACCACUAAUAGUGAUUAUGACUGCUGUAGUGGGGGCACUCAUGGGAGCAGUUGCAGGCCGUCAAGCAAGGAUACAGGGAAGAGGCCUUGUCUGUGGUGGGCCACUACGUCAAACCACUAAUAGUGAUUAUGACUGCUGUAGUGGGGGCACUCAUGGGAGCAGUUGCAGGUGCAGAACAUGGAACACUUGGCGCAUGUAUUGGGAUUCCUAUAGGCAUUAUUUUGGCUGUUCUUGUGAGUUAUGCUGUCCGUGGAGCCGCCACAGCAGCAAGGGAUAUUUCCAUCGCAGUCAAAGCCGAGGNNNNNNNNNNGUCUAGGGGUCAUAGUGGGGGGGUCGAAACAUAGCUGAGUCUAGGGGUCAUAGUGGGGGGGUCGAAACAUAGCUGAGUCUAGGGGUCAUAGUGGGGGGGUCGAAACAUAGCUGAGUCUAGGGGUCAUAGCUGAGUCUAGGGGUCAUAGCUGAGUCUAGGGGUCAUAGUGGGGGGUCAACAUGGAAACCUGAAUUGAAGAGGCGGGGAAGGUACGGGUUGCUCCCCCCAACUGUGCAUAUGAAUUAAUGACUCUAGAUAAAUACAGAGGUAACGUUACAAUAAAUCCCAACUAAUGUGGCUUGGGGCAACUCCCUGAGCUCUGCAUACAAACGUUGUUCUGUUGAAACCGACCAAUAAUGAUGGAUGAGUACUGCAAUCAAUCAAUCAAAUUAAUUAUAUUUUAUUUCUUUAUAAAGCCCUUUUUACAUCAGCAGUAGUCACAUGGUGCUUUACAGAUGCCCAGUCUCAAACCCCAAAGAGCAAGCAAUGCAGGUGUCACGCCAUGACCUUAAAGAGCCUUUUUAUGUCCCCAUUUUGGUUUGGUCAGGGUGGGAUUUGGGUGGGCAUUCUAUGUUCUGAUUUCUAUGUUUUGUGUUUCUAUGUUUUGGCCGGGUAUGGUUCUCAUACAGCUGUCUAUCAUUGUCU
rnacentral:lncRNA from 13 species